rnacentral:lncRNA from 1 species
GUCAAAUCCCUCCGCUUCGCUUGAAAAGAAGUUAGAAGAUCUCAUAAAGCGGGAGGGAGAGCGAGUGCGCGAGAGAGAAGAGAGACAGAGAAAUCGGAUCAUAGCCGUUGAUCUGGUUUUGGCACGUCGAAUCUCAGCCAUCCGUAUCAUCAUCAACGGCGUGUUGCUCCCUUCGCGGCUGAUGCCGUUCUAUUCUUGAUCUCCGGUGAGUUUUCUGAUCAAUUUGGCAUCUGAAUCCGCGUUGCUUUGCUUAUUUUCUGCUUGCUUCCUGGAUGAAAUUGGAAAUUUAAAAAAAGAAAAGGAAGAAAGGAAUUUGAAUCGAUUGAAUUUGAUCGUGUAAAACGGUUAUAGACGUCUUCUGUUUUGAUCUGAUCUUAUUGUUUAAUAGUGAGUUAAUGUCUACAGAGGUCGGAUAAUGAUUGAAUUGCAAUAAGUUCGUCGGAGAAGAUAACCAAUUCUUGCGAUUUUUCUGUUUGUUUUUCUUUCCUUUGGUUGCUUUUGCUGUUCCUGUCGACGUCGCUGUUUUUUGAUAAUGAUGAUGAUCUGCCGGUUUUCAGAGUAUGGAGGGGCAAAGAGUGCGAGGAGAAUUCAUUUGAACUGUGCCUGACCAAUGUGGUUUUGUUAAUUUGUGAGAAGAAACUAACCGAUAAUGCGAGAAUCUAAUCUGAAAUUGAAUAUUAUAUACAUACAUGCAUAUAUUAUGUGUUUGUGUGUCUAUAUAUAUAUAUAUAAAACAUACACCCAUAUGCGCGCGCGCGCGCGCAUGGGUAUAUUUAUAUGCAUAUUAUGCUAAUCUUGGACGCUAUAUCCAAGUUCGUUGGUGAUUCAUCUGAAAAUUUCUUUUUG